rnacentral:rRNA from 1 species
ACGAACGCUGGCGGCGUGCUUAACACAUGCAAGUCGAACGGAAAGGCCCUGCUUUUGUGGGGUGCUCGAGUGGCGAACGGGUGAGUAACACGUGAGUAACCUGCCCUUGACUUUGGGAUAACUUCAGGAAACUGGGGCUAAUACCGGAUAGGAGCUCCUGCUGCAUGGUGGGGGUUGGAAAGUUUCGGCGGUUGGGGAUGGACUCGCGGCUUAUCAGCUUGUUGGUGGGGUAGUGGCUUACCAAGGCUUUGACGGGUAGCCGGCCUGAGAGGGUGACCGGCCACAUUGGGACUGAGAUACGGCCCAGACUCCUACGGGAGGCAGCAGUGGGGAAUAUUGCACAAUGGGCGGAAGCCUGAUGCAGCAACGCCGCGUGCGGGAUGACGGCCUUCGGGUUGUAAACCGCUUUCGCCUGUGACGAAGCGUGAGUGACGGUAAUGGGUAAAGAAGCACCGGCUAACUACGUGCCAGCAGCCGCGGUGAUACGUAGGGUGCGAGCGUUGUCCGGAUUUAUUGGGCGUAAAGGGCUCGUAGGUGGUUGAUCGCGUCGGAAGUGUAAUCUUGGGGCUUAAC